rnacentral:rRNA from 1 species
UAGGGAAUCUUCCGCAAUGGGCGAAAGCCUGACGGAGCAACGCCGCGUGAGUGAUGAAGGUCUUCGGAUCGUAAAACUCUGUUAUUAGGGAAGAACAAAUGUGUAAGUAACUAUGCACGUCUUGACGGUACCUAAUCAGAAAGCCACGGCUAACUACGUGCCAGCAGCCGCGGUAAUACGUAGGUGGCAAGCGUUAUCCGGAAUUAUUGGGCGUAAAGCGCGCGUAGGCGGUUUUUUGAGUCUGAUGUGAAAGCCCACGGCUCAACCGUGGAGGGUCAUUGGAAACUGGAAAACUUGAGUGCAGAAGAGGAAAGUGGAAUUCCAUGUGUAGCGGUGAAAUGCGCAGAGAUAUGGGGGAACACCAGUGGCGAAGGCGACUUUCUGGUCUGUAACUGACGCUGAUGUGCGAAAGCGUGGGGAUCAAACAGG